AGACUGCUGAGGAGUCCCAUAAUCGAACGAAACGGCCGUCCAGUGC
rnacentral:hammerhead_ribozyme from 1 species